GAUGAACGCUGGCGGCGUGCCUAACACAUGCAAGUCGAGCGAUUUACUUCGGGAAAGAGCGGCGGACGGGUGAGUAACGCGUGGGUAACCUGCCCUGUACACACGGAUAACAUACUGAAAGGUAUGCUAAUACGGGAUAACAUAAGAGAGUCGCAUGGCUUUCUUAUCAAAGCUUUUGCGGUACAGGAUGGACCCGCGUCUGAUUAGCUAGUUGGUAAGGUAACGGCUUACCAAGGCGACGAUCAGUAGCCGACCUGCGAGGGUGAUCGGCCACAUUGGAACUGAGAAACGUACCAAACUCCUCCGGGAGGCAGCAGUGGGGAAUAUUGCACAAUGGGCGAAAGCCUGAUGCUGCAACGCCGCGUGAGCGAUGAAGGCCUUCGGGUCGUAAAGCUCUGUCCUCAAGGAAGAUAAUGACGGUACUUGAGGAGGAAGCCCCGGCUAACUACGUGCCAGCCGCCGCGGUAA
rnacentral:rRNA from 1 species